rnacentral:tRNA from 1 species
UCCAAUAUAGUGUAACGGCUAUCACGUCGCGCCCUCGCCGUGGAUACUGAGGUUCAAUUCCCCAUAUUGGGG